rnacentral:rRNA from 1 species
AUUGAACGCUGGCGGCAUGCCUUACACAUGCAAGUCGAACGGCAGCACGGGAGCAAUCCUGGUGGCGAGUGGCGAACGGGUGAGUAGUAUAUCGGAACGUGCCCAGUCGUGGGGAUAACGUAGCGAAAGCUACGCUAAUACCGCAUACGAUCUAUGGAUGAAAGCGGGGGAUCGCAAGACCUCGCGCGAUUGGAGCGGCCGAUAUCAGAUUAGGUAGUUGGUGAGGUAAAGGCUCACCAAGCCGACGAUCUGUAGCUGGUCUGAGAGGACGACCAGCCACACUGGGACUGAGACACGGCCCAGACUCCUACGGGAGGCAGCAGUGGGGAAUUUUGGACAAUGGGCGCAAGCCUGAUCCAGCAAUGCCGCGUGCAGGAUGAAGGCCU